ensembl:snRNA U1 U1 spliceosomal RNA
AUACUUACCUGGCAGGGGAGAUACCAUGAUCAAGAAGGUGGUUCACCCAGGGCGAGGCUCAACCAUUGCACCCCGGCUGUGCUGACCUUUGCGAAUUCCCCAAAUGUGGGAAUCAUGACUGCAUAAUUUCUGGUAGUGGGGGACUGCGUUCGCGCUCUCCCCUG